GGUGGGUAGCCUAACUAGCUGUAUAAAUAGCGGAUUGGCGUUUCAAUAAAUACAAAGUCGUAUCUCGAACUUAAUAUGUAUAAUUUAAUAAGUUAGACUGACGAGUUAUUCAGCAUUACAUAUUUAUAUGAUUUAUAUAAUCAAUAAGUUUAACAAAUAACUAUAUUAUAACAAGACUCUGUUAUAGCUACAACUUUAUACAGGAACGAAAUAUAUAGUCAAUAACAACUGGUUACUUCUCUGGUACCUGUGAUAGUUACAAAAGGGGGGAGUGGGGUUGGGGCUGGGGUAGCUCUGGUUCAAUAUGGGUAAGUGGACUGGUAAUGACCAAAAGUACUUAAUAAAUAAUCAAAGCAUAUAAUCCUUACAGAUCCUUACACAUUUUAGCAUAAAUUGAACACUUAAGUUAUUAUAUUUAAGGAAUAUUGUAGAAGAUAUUUAACAGUUUAUAGUUAAAUAUGACGGUUUCCGCGGUGUUCCGCAAUCGGCGGUACUGUAUAAAUAUUCACAAUGAACUUUCUUAUUUAGCUAGCGUGAUCCUAAUAAGCCUUUAUAAUAAAAAGAUCUAGAAUAAAAUAUUAGCAAUAAUCCUAAAAAUCCUAAAUUAUUAGAACCUAACCUUAACGAAAUAACUGGAUAUAUAUAAAUUCUCUAUUUCUGCUAGUUUGUUUAUAAUUUAACAAUAUGGCUGCCCAGGAGGAACAAGACUGAAUAAGAGAGAAUGUCGCGCAUGAAUUUAUAGUACACGACACACUUUGGACACGAUUUGGACACACUUUUGACGUUUCUAACGUCAAAUGACGUCACGACACAAACUGCACUGUAAACAUACGGGGACUUUUAUAAGACUUUGUAAAUAAACAAUGGCGGCCCCCAGGGUUGAAGUGACCCGUUAAUAAAAAGGGAUAAAAGCUACAUGUCUCGGAGACUUAUGAUCGUUGAUACCGGUAUAACUACAACAAGGAACCAGAGAAUCACGUUAGUUUUACUUGACUGUAAGUUAAAUGUACAACUCGUACAUUAAAAUAGUAAAUUCUACACUUGUCACAUACAUCAUACAAUUAUAAAAAUAUAUAGUCUUUGGAUUUGUCCCCAUUUCCCGUAUCAUUUGCCUUUCCAUCUAUAAUAGUAUUUACAUUUCAUUACACAAUAUAAAGAACGUGACCCACAAAAGACAUGAUCAAACAUGAAUAAGUUAGAAUUACAAAUCCGUAACA
rnacentral:lncRNA from 1 species